AGGUGACUUGUGUUCAACAGAUACACAGCUUAAUUAUUAUUGAGUGAGUGCUCAGAGAAGGUGAAAAGCCUGUGUGGUUGUGUCCAUCUGUUGAAUCGGGUUACUGACGAGUCUAGUUGUUUGAGAGUACAACUUAAAGCUGGUGGUAAAUUUCAUCAAAGGCUAAAUAUAUGAGGGGACUAAUAGCGAACAAGUACCAUGAGGGAAAGUUGAAAAGGACUCUGACGAGAGAGUUCAAUAGUACGUGAAACCAUAUUGAGUAAAACAGAUAACUGUGUUGUUAUGUGGUGUGCCUAUCAACAGUGAAUUCGGCGUUGCGCCGCCGCCAGUGUGAGCUGUCUAUUCAGCCGAACGCUGGUGGUGGUGCAUAGUUGGAGCUUCUGUGUACUAGUGCACACUCAAUCAUUGAGAAACUAUGCUGCUGCGGUAUCGGUGUGCAUCAGUCCGUACCUAGUGCGAGGUUGCAUGCUGGGCUCUGCUGGCGGCGUCGUUUAGCUGUGUGACAGCUGUGGAUCGCGUUCACUGAAUGUGCCUGCUGUAUCUGCGGAGUGGUUCAUUCCUCUCUGCGGCGAGCAUCACGGUGCAGUGGGUGAGCGGUCCGCCAUCAAUGGUUAACAUUAGUUAUUUGACCCGUCUUGAAACACGGACCAAGGAGUUCAAAUGGCACGCGAGUCAUUGGGUUUAAGCACCCGAAGGCGAAGUGAAAUGCAAACGUAUCGUUACGCGUCCUUGUUGGGCGAAUAAGCGAUAAGCUACUCAUGCUUUCCGGCAUUUGUAGACUACAAGCGUGAUGUUUGAGACCCGAAAGAUGGUGACCUAUGCCUAGUCAAGAUGAAGCCAGAGGAAACUCUGGUGGAUGUCUGAAGUUAUUCUGACGUGCAAAUCGAUAAUCUGAUCUGGGUAUAGGGGCGAAAGACUAAUCGAACCAUCUAGUAGCUGGUUCCUUCCGAAGUUUCCCUCAGGAUAGCAAGCGUACACUUUUAGUUUCAUCCCGUAAAGCGAAUGAUUAGAGGCAUUGGGGCAUAUAUAGCUUCAACCUAUUCUCAAACUUUUAAUGGGUGUGAGUGUUCUUUCUUGAUUGAAGAACGCUGCUAAAUAAGUAUGCUUAGUGGGCCAUUUUUGGUAAGCAGAACUGGCGCUGUGGGUUGAACCAAAUGUUGAGUUAAAGUGCCUAAAGCUGGAAUGCGCAUGAGAUCUAUAAAGGGUGUUAGUUGCUGAAGACAGCAGG
rnacentral:rRNA from 1 species